CUGAUCUCAAAACUGUAAAACCGGGUACACGUACACUUCUCCGGAGAGUAAAACUUGACUUGAACAUAAAACUUUGAAUAAUAGUCGAUGCGGACGAGGAAAUCGGAGCAAUAAUCGUCGAAACAUGAGCGACAGACGAGGACUCGUCUUGGACUCAAACUCUAUGGGGCUGUCCAAUCCGGAUACUCCCACGAUCUCGGGGCAGCAGACGUCUCAGCAGGCGGUACAGGUGCAGCUGGCGCUGAAGGAUCAGCAAAGCCAAAAGGCUCUACAGCAGGACACAGGGAAUGUCGAAAAUCAAUCCGGUGUCUUCACGAACUACAGCAACCAAGACCACUCCAGGUGCAAUGCUCGCACUGAGCCCAUAGCUACGGAGUACUUUCACCGUUUGGUGGACCAACUGCCUGAGGCACAUGACAUGAGCGCUCAGAUGAAUCUGCAGCUGAACAAGACAUUCCUAAAACGGCUGGACGAGAUCGACGGCCUCAAUUUUCCGAGCGUAGAUUUAAGGACACAAUCCACCCAGAGGCUACCACUCAAUACCUAACCCCAAUCUUUGUUGGAUUGCCUCCCACUCCAGCUGCGCCUGAUCACUUUUCAAGAGUGGGUGGACGUCCUACUAAAUGUCAACAGCGUCAUGUUCACCAACUUGUCGGCAAUUAAAGGGGAGGCAUACGGCAAGAUCAUGGACCGCGUUCAGUCGGUCAGUGGGGAGCAACAGCAGACGUUGGACGAAAACCGAAAUCUGCGCAAGGACUUAUGUGCAAUCAUAAAGCUCCUACAGAAUGCCUAUCACCGGAACAUUUGGGACACGGACUGCCUUUCACUGGAAGCCCUGACUGUUAACCAAAUUCUGGGCAUAACCCACAGGCAGCGUCAUCCGGAGAGCGUCAGUGAAAUUAGCGAUAGUGAAUGCGGCCGGUGAAGAUAACCUGUUUAGUCUUCCGUUACUACCGAUGUUGUUUUUAGCUAAAUUAUAUACAUAAAAUUAAGAUUUACAUUGUUCAGCAGCGUUUCUUGCGAUAAAUUUAAUAAUACUCAUCUCAUUCAUUC